rnacentral:rRNA from 1 species
GGGGGGGGGGGGGGGGGGGGGUGGGGGGGGCGGGGCGGGCGGGAGGGGCCUGGUGGGGGGGGGGGCUCGAGUGGCGGCCGGGCGAGUGACACGUGGGUAACCUGCCCUUGACUUUGGGCUAACGUCAGGAACCUGGGGCUAAUACCGGAUAGGCGCUCCUGCUGCAUGGUGGGGGUUGGACAGUUUCGGCGGUUGGGGCUGGACUCGCGGCUUAUCAGCUUGUUGGUGGGGUAGUGGCUUACCAAGGCUUUGACGGGUAGCCGGCCUGAGAGGGUGACCGGCAAAGUUGGGACUGAGCUACGGCCCAGACUCCUACGGGAGGCAGCAGUGGGGAAUAUUGCACAAUGGGCGGAAGCCUGAUGCAGCAACGCCGCGUGCGGGAUGACGGCCUUCGGGUUGUAAACCGCUUUCGCCUGUGACGAAGCGUGAGUGACGGUAAUGGGUAAAGAAGCACCGGCUAACUACGUG